UGCAGCCUGUAACGGGGAGGAGGUCUGCAGCUGUCUGGAUGUACUCAGGCUGCAGAGAAUCGAAACUUAUCCGAGGAGAGGGAAGUGUCGGGCGGUCACAAACGAAACCUCCUCGGGGUUUGCUCCUGUCAAAGUCUCUCCGUCCGGAAACAGCAUGGCCCACGUUUAAACUUUGCUUCGGCUCAAUGAACUUCCUGGCUUCUUCUUCUACUGUGGACAAGCAUGGAUCCUGGCCGAGAGAAACGCAAGGAGGAGAUAAACAAAGCUUUGGCUUUUAUACAGUCUUCCCUGGCCUAUCCUGACCCCGACGGCUAUCAGGUAGUGCUAAUGCUGUUAUGUGCGUUUGCUUUUUAUGCCCUGUGCCUAAAAAGGGCAGCUGGCCCUGUGCAUGCUUUGGUGUGAAGCACUCU